AACAGGAAUGAGGUUUCCAGAUUCUGAUGAGUUGAAAAAAAAGCCAAGCUAAGUCCUCUCUUCAUGGAAGUACCAUUUUGGCAGUCAGCACGGAUGAAAAGGUUCUUGAGUUUCCUGUCCUGUACGAGUUCUGUCAGAACUUUCAUUUCAUGGUAUUUUUAAUCAGACUUUCAAGACUGCCAAAUGGUGUUUCGCUUGGGAACGCAUCUGAAAAGGAGUCUCCAGGGUACAGAAAAAGGCCUUGGAACAUCAGUGCUUGCUAAAUCCACUUUGUCUUUCUGCAUUUGAUGAAAUGUUAUGAUUCAUUGAUCUUAUUUUUCUUUCAUGGAAGCACUUGUGAGUGCCUAGGAAUCCUAUUUCCUGUUUCCUUUUCUUCUGAUUAGUGUUUAUGCAUAGUAAUCUGUUUCUUAUAAUCUCCCUUUGUUAUUUGUUAUUUUUUAUGACAUCUUCCUCGAUUACUCAACAGUGAGAAUUUAUAUAAUUGGCAUGAGCAGAAAUACACAGGAAAUGGCAACACCUACAAUUCCUGUCAUUUGAUCCAGACAUUAAAAGGUCAAUAUUUAGCAAUCCUAUAAUGGAAUUAGCAUUCCAUAAAAAAAAAGUUUAUGCGUUUGUGUUGUUGAUUUGUACUCCUCUAAAGAUCUGGUUUAAACUAAAAC
rnacentral:lncRNA from 1 species